rnacentral:rRNA from 1 species
AGUGGCGAUCGGGUGAGUAACACGUGACUAACCUACCUUCGAGUGGGGAAUAACUCCGGGAAACCGGGGCUAAUACCGCAUAACAUCGCAAGAUCAAAGCAGCAAUGCGCUUGAAGAGGGGGUCGCGGCUGAUUAGCUAGUUGGCGGGGUAACGGCCCACCAAGGCGAAGAUCGGUAUCCGGCCUGAGAGGGCGCACGGACACACUGGAACUGAAACACGGUCCAGACUCCUACGGGAGGCAGCAGUGGGGAAUUUUGCGCAAUGGGGGAAACCCUGACGCAGCAACGCCGCGUGGAGGAUGAAGCCCCUUGGGGCGUAAACUCCUUUCGACCAAGACGAUAAUGACGGUACUGGUGGAAGAAGCACCGGCUAACUCUGUGCCAGCAGCCGCGGUAAUACAGAGGGUGCGAGCGUUGUUCGGAAUUAUUGGGCGUAAAGGGCGCGUAGGCGGUGCGGUAAGUCACCUGUGAAAUCUCCAGGCUUAACUUGGAGUCUGCAGGCGA